UGAACGCUGGCGGCAGGCCUAACACAUGCAAGUCGAACGGUAACAGGAAGAAGCUUGCUUCUUUGCUGACGAGUGGCGGACGGGUGAGUAAUGUCUGGGAAACUGCCUGAUGGAGGGGGAUAACUACUGGAAACGGUAGCUAAUACCGCAUAACGUCGCAAGACCAAAGAGGGGGACCUUAGGGCCUCUUGCCAUCGGAUGUGCCCAGAUGGGAUUAGCUAGUAGGUGGGGUAAAGGCUCACCUAGGCGACGAUCCCUAGCUGGUCUGAGAGGAUGACCAGCCACACUGGAACUGAGACACGGUCCAGACUCCUACGGGAGGCAGCAGUGGGGAAUAUUGCACAAUGGGCGCAAGCCUGAUGCAGCCAUGCCGCGUGUAUGAAGAAGGCCUUCGGGUUGUAAAGUACUUUCAGCGGGGAGGAAGGUGUUGUGGUUAAUAACCACAGCAAUUGACGUUACCCGCAGAAGAAGCACCGGCUAACUCCGUGCCAGCAGCCGCGGUAAUACGGAGGGUGCAAGCGUUAAUCGGAAUUACUGGGCGUAAAGCGCACGCAGGCGGUCUGUCAAGUCGGAUGUGAAAUCCCCGGGCUCAACCUGGGAACUGCAUUCGAAACUGGCAGGCUUGAGUCUCGUAGAGGGGGGUAGAAUUCCAGGUGUAGCGGUGAAAUGCGUAGAGAUCUGGAGGAAUACCGGUGGCGAAGGCGGCCCCCUGGACGAAGACUGACGCUCAGGUGCGAAAGCGUGGGGGAGCAAACAGGAUUAGAUACCCUGGUAGUCCACGCCGUAAACGAUGUCUAUUUGGAGGUUGUGCCCUUGAGGUGUGGCUUCCGGAGCUAACGCGUUAAAUAGACCGCCUGGGGAGUACGGCCGCAAGGUUAAAACUCAAAUGAAUUGACGGGGGCCCGCACAAGCGGUGGAGCAUGUGGUUUAAUUCGAUGCAACGCGAAGAACCUUACCUGGUCUUGACAUCCACAGAACUUUCCAGAGAUGGAGGGGUGCCUUCGGGAACUGUGAGACAGGUGCUGCAUGGCUGUCGUCAGCUCGUGUUGUGAAAUGUUGGGUUAAGUCCCGCAACGAGCGCAACCCUUAUCCUUUGUUGCCAGCGGUUAGGCCGGGAACUCAAAGGAGACUGCCAGUGAUAAACUGGAGGAAGGUGGGGAUGACGUCAAGUCAUCAUGGCCCUUACGACCAGGGCUACACACGUGCUACAAUGGCGCAUACAAAGAGAAGCGAACUCGCGAGAGCAAGCGGACCUCAUAAAGUGCGUCGUAGUCCGGACUGGAGUCUGCAACUCGACUCCAUGAAGUCGGAAUCGCUAGUAAUCGUGGAUCAGAAUGCCACGGUGAAUACGUUCCCGGGCCUUGUACACACCGC
rnacentral:rRNA from 1 species